rnacentral:sRNA from 12 species
AAAGCGGUAUCGUAAGUCCUGGAGCGGCUGGGUGUUCGUAGAACACCCCACUCUGCUGCAAGCGGUGGUUAUCGGCUCCCAGGCAGAGCCGCUAU